CAACCAUAACACAUUGAAAUACCAGUUUUCAUAUGAUCACCAAAGUUAAGCAAUGUGAAACCUGGCCAGUACCUAGAUGGGUGACUACUUCGGAGUACCAGGUGCUGUAAG